GACGAACGCUGGCGGCGUGCCUAAUACAUGCAAGUCGAACGCUUCUUUCCUGCCGAUUUCUUGCCCUCGAUUGGAAAGAGGAUUGGCGGACGGGUGAGUAACACGUCUGUAACCUACCCAUCAUAGAGGGAGAACACUUUGAAACAGGAUCUAAUACCGCAUAACAGUUUAUGCCGCAUUGCAUUAGAGUGAAAGGGGCUGUAUGGUGGCGCUGAUGGAUUGACCCGCGGUGCGUUAGCUAGUUGGUGAGGUAACGGCUCACCAAGGCAACGAUGCAUAGCCGACCUGAGAGGGUGAUCGGCCACACUGGAACUGAGACACGGCCCAGACUCCUACGGGAGGCAGCAGUCGGGAAUAUUCGGCAAUGGACGAAAGUCUGACCGAGCAACGCCGCGUGAGUGAAGAAGGCUUUCGGAUCGUAAAACUCUGUUGUUAGUGAAGAACAAGGACGUCAGUAACUGAACCUCCACUGACGGUAACUAAACAGAAAGCACCGGCUAACUACGUG
rnacentral:rRNA from 1 species